AUUGAACGCUGGCGGCAUGCCUUCCACAUGCAAGUCGAACGGCAGCACGGGAGCAAUCCUGGUGGCGAGUGGCGAACGGGUGAGUAAAGUAUCGGAACGUGCCCAGUCGUGGGGGAUAACGUAGCGAAAGUUACGCUAAUACCGCAUACGAUCUAUGGAUGAAAGCGGGGGAUCGCAAGACCUCGCGCGAUUGGAGCGGCCGAUAGCAGCUUAGGUAGUUGGUGGGGUAAAGGCUCACCAAGCCGACGAUCUGUAGCUGGUCUGAGAGGACGACCAGCCACACUGGGACUGAGACACGGCCCAGACUCCUACGGGAGGCAGCAGUGGGGAAUUGUGGACAAUGGGCGAAAGCCUGAUCCAGCCAUGCCGCGUGCAGGAUGAAGGCCUUCGGGUUGUAAACUGCUUUUGUACGGAACGAAAAGGUUUGGCCUAAUAAGCUGAGCUCAUGACGGUACCGUAAGAAUAAGCACCGGCUAACUACGUGCCAGCAGCCGCAGUAA
rnacentral:rRNA from 1 species